rnacentral:rRNA from 1 species
AUAUUGGACAAUGGGCGCAAGCCUGAUCCAGCAAUGCCGCGUGAGUGAUGAAGGCCUUAGGGUUGUAAAGCUCUUUUACCAGGGAUGAUAAUGACAGUACCUGGAGAAUAAGCUCCGGCUAACUCCGUGCCAGCAGCCGCGGUAAUACGGAGGGAGCUAGCGUUGUUCGGAAUUACUGGGCGUAAAGCGCGCGUAGGCGGCUACUCAAGUCAGGGGUGAAAGCCCGGGGCUCAACCCCGGAACUGCCUUUGAAACUAGGUAGCUAGAAUCUUGGAGAGGUCAGUGGAAUUCCGAGUGUAGAGGUGAAAUUCGUAGAUAUUCGGAAGAACACCAGUGGCGAAGGCGGCUCACUGGACGAUUGUUGACGCUGAGGUGCGAAAGCGUGGCGAGCAAACAGG